UACAGAGGGGGCAAGCGUUGUUCGGAAUUACUGGGCGUAAAGGGCGCGUAGGCGGUUUAUCAAGUGAGAUGUGAAAUCCCCGGGCUUAACCUGGGAACUGCAUCUUAAACUGAUGAGCUGGAGUACUGUAGAGGACAGUGGAAUUUCCGGUGUAGCGGUGAAAUGCGUAGAGAUCGGAAGGAACAUCAGUGGCGAAGGCGACUGUCUGGACAGAUACUGACGCUGAGGCGCGAAAGCGUGGGGAGCAAACAGG
rnacentral:rRNA from 1 species